GUGGGGAAUCUUGCGCAAUGGGCGAAAGCCAGACGCAGCCAUGCCGCGUGAAUGAUGAAGGUCUUAGGAUUGUAAAAUUCUUUCACCGGGGACGAUAAUGACGGUACCCGGAGAAGAAGCCCCGGCUAACUUCGUGCCAGCAGCCGCGGUAAUACGAAGGGGGCUAGCGUUGCUCGGAAUUACUGGGCGUAAAGGGCGCGUAGGCGGAUCGUUAAGUCAGGGGUGAAAUCCCAGAGCUCAACUCUGGAACUGCCCUUGAUACUGGCGAUCUUGAGUGUGAGAGAGGUAUGUGGAACUCCGAGUGUAGAGGUGAAAUUCGUAGAUAUUCGGAAGAACACCAGUGGCGAAGGCGAUAUACUGGCUCAUUACUGACGCUGAGGCGCGAAAGCGUGGGGAGCAAACAGGAUUAGAAACCCCGGUAGUCC
rnacentral:rRNA from 1 species